UGGGGAAAAUUCUUAUAAGCCAAGGUUUAUGAUCAUCAGGGAUAUGAUUUUUUUAGAAAAAUUGAGUUUAUAAUUAUUAUAGAUUGUGGUGCAAGUAGCAUUGAAGGAUAUAGGUGUAAUCAUAAGGAUUGCAUGUGUUAAAAAUUUUAAAAUUUAUAAGGUUAUGAUUUAUAGUCUCAAGCUAAAGUAGGCAUGAUGAAUUCAGACGUUCAAAGCG
rnacentral:lncRNA from 1 species